UACGAAGGGGCUAGCGUUGCUCGGAAUCACUGGGCGUAAAGGGUGCGUAGGCGGGUCUUUUAAGUCAGGGGUGAAAUCCUGGAGCUCAACUCCAGAACUGCCUUUGAUACUGAAGAUCUUGAGUUCGGGAGAGGUGAGUGGAACUGCGAGUGUAGAGGUGAAAUUCGUAGAUAUUCGCAAGAACACCAGUGGCGAAGGCGGCUCACUGGCCCGAUACUGACGCUGAGGCACGAAAGCGUGGGAGCAAACAGG
rnacentral:rRNA from 1 species